UAUAGCCCCCCUAGUGUUAUUUUACUGCUGCUCUUUAAUUAUAAACCUUGUUAUUUUAGUUUAAAAAAGUUGUACUUAUCUAUUUUUUACUUAACACUUAUUUUUCUUAAAACUGCAUUGUUGGUUAAGGGCUUGUAAGUAAGCAUUUCACUAUAAGGUCUACACCUGUUGUAUUCGGCGCAGCGUCCAUCUUUAAUCGAUCUGAUUAAAUGUUCUCCUCAUUCCUCAGAUCAAUAUUCCCUUUUCUGUGUGAGCAAUGGCCAGGUCGGAGACUAUUCCUCUGGAGGAGGAGAUGGUGAGCAUCCUGGACCAAUGCGGGCCAGCUCUGACAUAUGUCCUGCAAAGCAAGUUCGGAUGUACUGCUGUGCUCCAUGGUGUUGAUGCCGGUGCAGGUGCAAGGAAGUUCAAGAUGCCAGGAUUUAAGCAUGCAACGGUCCAUUCCGACUCCAGAGAUGCAAGGAAAAGUAUUCAACCGUUUAUCAAGCUCUGCAGUGCCUAUCAUUAGACAUUGAGGGAGGCCAGACGCUGGUAUUUUGAUGUUUUGAACCCUGCCUCGAAGAACAUAAUCACCAUUCACAACAAUUUCAUCCAGCACUUUGGCCAGAGGGAGUUUGAAGAGCUUCUUUCUCUUCAGACCAAGAGGGAAGUUUCCAUCGAGGAGAACUUUAAAGAUGGCCGCUUUGGAAUGACCAUCAAGGGGGCUUCUAGAUGGUUAAAAGCUGCUGUGUUAGAGGUGGAAGCCCUGUGCUGCAAAGUCCAAGAGGAUUUUGCAAAAGAAGAGUUGAGUUUCAUGGGCAUGCAAUCUCCCACCAGUUCCCCAAGGAAGCCUGUAGAUGACAACAGUUCUGACUAUAAAGAAAGACAACAACAUUUUCCUGGGCUUCAAAUUGUCAGGGUUGAGAAGGUGGAGAACAAAGCUCUGAAGCAGGUCUUUGACCUCAUGAAGAGGCAGUUGCAGGUGUCUAGCUCUUCUCAGCGAAUGUACCAGCGCUUGCCUGCGCAAUUCUGUGACCUGCUCAGCAGAGUGGGCUUUCAGAUGGAGUUUGCACCACCUGACGGUAAGAGAGAUUCAGAUGGAGUUUACACCACCUGACGGUAAGAGAGAUUCAGAUGGAGUUUGCACCACCUGACGGUAAGAGAGAUUCAGAUGGAGUUUACAGCACCUGACGGUAAGAGAGAUUCAGAUGGAGUUUGCACCACCUGACGGUAAGAGUGUUUCAGAUGGAGUUUGCACCACCUGACGGUAAGAGAGAUUCAGAUGGAGUUUGCACCACCUGAUGGUAAGAGAGAUUCAGAUGGAGUUUGCACCACCUGACGGUAAGAGAGAUUCAGAUGGAGUUUGCACCACCUGACGGUAAGAGAGAUUCAGAUGGAAUUUGCACCACCUGACGGUAAGAGAGAUUCAGAUGGAGUUUGCACCACCUGACGGUAAGAGAGAUUCAGAUGGAGUUUACACCACCUGACGGUAAGAGAGAUUCAGAUGGAGUUUACACCACCUGAUGGUAAGAGAGAUUCAGAUGGAGUUUACACCACCUGACGGUAAGAGAGAUUCAGAUGGAGUUUGCACCACCUGAUGGUAAGAGAGAUUCAGAUGGAGUUUGCACCACCUGAUGGUAAGAGAGAUUCAGAGUUUGCACCAGUGGUGGAAAAAGUGCCCAAUUUUCAUACUUGAGUAAAAGUAAAGAUA